rnacentral:rRNA from 1 species
UACGAAGGAGGCUAGCGUUGCUCGGAUUGACUGGGCGUAAAGGGCGCGUAGGCGGUUCGUACAGUCAGACGUGAAAUUCCUGGGCUCAACCUGGGGGCUGCGUUUGAUACGUGCGGACUUGAGUGCGGAAGAGGGUCGUGGAAUUCCCAGUGUAGAGGUGAAAUUCGUAGAUAUUGGGAAGAACACCGGUGGCGAAGGCGGCGACCUGGUCCGAUACUGACGCUGAGGCGCGAAAGCGUGGGGGAGCAAACAGG